GAUGAACGCUGGCGGCGUGCCUAAUACAUGCAAGUCGAGCGAACGGACGAGAAGCUUGCUUCUCUGAUGUUAGCGGCGGACGGGUGAGUAACACGUGGAUAACCUACCUAUAAGACUGGGAUAACUUCGGGAAACCGGAGCUAAUACCGGAUAAUAUUUUGAACCGCAUGGUUCAAAAGUGAAAGACGGUCUUGCUGUCACUUAUAGAUGGAUCCGCGCUGCAUUAGCUAGUUGGUAAGGUAACGGCUUACCAAGGCAACGAUGCAUAGCCGACCUGAGAGGGUGAUCGGCCACACUGGAACUGAGACACGGUCCAGACUCCUAUGGGAGGCAGCAGUAGGGAAUCUUCCGCAAUGGGCGAAAGCCUGACGGAGCAACGCCGCGUGAGUGAUGAAGGUCUUCGGAUCGUAAAACUCUGUUAUUAGGGAAGAACAUAUGUGUAAGUAACUGUGCACAUCUUGACGGUACCUAAUCAGAAAGCCACGGCUAACUACGUG
rnacentral:rRNA from 1 species